rnacentral:lncRNA from 1 species
AGUCUCGCUGCGUUUCUCCCUUGCCCAAAGCGAGAGCCUGCGGGCGUUGGCGGCGCCGCGGUCUGCCAGGAGAGCGGGGAGCGGAGCCGUGCCGGGAUUAAGUCACUCUCGCAAGGUCACGCGGUGAAUCGCUGCUGCUGCUGCCAGGAAUAGCGCCCCGAGUCUCUUGGCUCUCUCAAGCCCACCCGCAGCACUCCAGCCUCCUUUCCUCGGGUUAUGAAGCUUUCUGCAGCAAGAUUUGAAGCAGCCAAAUUCCAGCUUAGAUCAAAGUCCCUAGGAUUCACUUGUGAUUUCCGGAUGGAGUAUGGCAAGAGCGUUGGUGGGAGCAGACAAUGCUUGUGCUGAUAGCAGAGGUUGAAGUGUUUCCUGUCAUGGAAAAGAUGAACAAGCCAGUUCCGCAUCAGCUUUCUUUUCUGAGACUUCCAGCUGUAACUGAAGCCUCAGUUCCCGUGAUGAUGCUCCUGGGGCACAGCCCGAUGGCAUCUGCAGAGUGGGGCAUGGAGAACAAGGGACCCCGAGCCACAGGGAGGGACUGCAGCCCCUGCGCCCCUCUCCCCAUGGAGAGACAGCAGAACAUCAUGGUGCCCUCAGAGCCAGCACAGCGCAGACAUCUCCAACAGGGGAUCAGCAAACGCAUAGGACAGGUACACUCCCUUCUGAGUGACAGCACUUCCCAAAGCCUCGCUCUGCAGCCCUGGAGCCUGCUUCAGCAGCCCUGGGAGCCUGGCCAUGGUGAGGGCAGUGACUGCAAUUUGUGUGGGACAAUCUGCUCCUUGCACGCGUUGCUCAGAGGCGGAUCCUGUUCAGAAACCCCUUCUCUGCCCCUGUGGAACAGAGGGCUAUGGCACCUUCACAUGGAACCACGCUCAACUGGAAUGUCACAGAUUUGCCUCUGGGGCCAACCUGAGCUGCAGCAGAGCAUGGAGAAGACAGUUUCAGGUAAGACAGCGGAUGCACUUUGCACACUCGUGAGGGUUGCUGACAGCAGACUUCCAUGGGGAAGUCACACCAGUAAUGAAUGUUCCAAAGGGAAUUGGGGCUCCCACGCCUGCAGGGAGGCAGCCAUGGAGGCAGGUAUCUGGUGUCUCAAUGUUCAGAGGAUUUCCCCACAGCUCACCUGGGCUCAGGUGGUGGGCUUAGAGACUCCGUGCCCAUCUCACUGCAGCCUCUGA